AGAAUUUUAUUGAGUUUUAUUUUGAAAUGGGCCUGAAAUACACAGACAUUCAAGCAGUGCGAUGCGCUAAGAAUCUGCCAUGCAGACCAGCGAUCCUGAUAAUGUUGUCGGCCUUGGAUGAUGAGGUCCAGUUACCAGGAGCACUAGUCUGCAGCUUACUGGUUCCGUCCUGCAGCUCCUCCACGCUGUCCUCCUCUCUACAGACCAAAUCAAGAAAAGGGAACCAGGAAGCUGCUGUGGAUCCUCUGCAGUAUCUGGAGAGGUCAGAGGAACGGUUCUUGGAACAGAUCGGAAGACACCAAGACGUGACCUCUGCCAUGCUCCAGAACAUCCAGAAGAUGAAUGAAAACCUUGGUUGCACUGAUGGGACGCAUGGUGUCGGUGCUGGAGCAACUGUCCCAGAAUUAAACUGCAUUGUUGACUAUUGGCUUUUCUAGAAAAUAAAUCUUUUUUAGUACUUCACCUGUUUUGUAUUUUACCCAUGCACUUUGGGUGAAUAAACAGAAAUUUGUGAUGAGAGAUGCAAA